rnacentral:tRNA from 1 species
GCUCGAGUGGUCCAAAGGAUGGGCGCCCGCGUCCUAAGCGGGACUAUGCCGGUUCGAGUCCGGCCUCGAGCA